CUCUCAGACUGGAAGACCUUUCUGAAGUCAGUUCCAGACAUCCCUGGAAGGCUGGAUAAUUUGGGAAAAGGCUGACUCAAUGUAAGGACUCUGCCUGAGAAAUUUUAUACAUUCCUCCAAAGAAAAAAAAUACAGAAAAGCUGUUUCAAAACCAAAAUCUCCUUAUUUUCCCAGAAUAGAAUGAGAGGAAGAAACUAAAAUCGAGAGAGGUUAAUAAUUGUGCCCGAGGCUACACAGCUACUAAGCAAACCAGAUCUAUGCUCAAAGCCCAUGCAGGACUGUAACCACGGUGCAAGAUCAAUCCUCCUGCUUGGAGAACUGAUCCAACUCCACACCUGUAUCUUCAGGUUGGACUCGCUUCUUCAACCCAUGUACAUGUCCAGUAUUCCUUCAUCAUUGACAAAUACCUUCCUUUGACUUUACUGAUUCUCUGACUACCACCUUUUCAAUGAAGGUAUUUUUUCAGUCAACCAUUUUAACAAAUUCAUCUUUGCUUGGUCUCCAAUUCCUCUCCUUGAAGUUGCUCUUCACAUCACUAUAAACCAGCUUUUGAUCUCAUUGCUUCUUAGAGAGUUAGUAAAAAAAAUGGAUAGAAUAAUAGUU
rnacentral:lncRNA from 10 species